UACGGGGGGGGCAAGCGUUAUUCGGAAUUAUUGGGCGUAAAGGGCGCGUAGGCGGCGAUUCAAGUGACGGGUGAAAUCCCUCGGCUUAACCGAGGAACUGCCUGUCAGACUGGAUUGCUUGAGGCCGGGAGAGGCGAGUGGAAUUCCCAGUGUAGCGGUGAAAUGCGUAGAUAUUGGGAGGAACACCAGUGGCGAAGGCGGCUCGCUGGACCGGUUCUGACGCUGAGGCGCGAAAGCGUGGGGAGCAAACAGG
rnacentral:rRNA from 1 species